AAGUCGAACGCUCCGCAAGGGGAGUGGCAGACGGGUGAGUAACGCGUGGGAACCUUCCCAAUGGUACGGAAUAACCCAGGGAAACUUGGGCUAAUACCGCAUACGCCCUUCGGGGGAAAGAUUUAUCGCCAUUGGAUGGGCCCGCGUCGGAUUAGCUAGUUGGUGAGGUAACGGCUCACCAAGGCGACGAUCCGUAGCUGGUCUGAGAGGAUGAUCAGCCACACUGGGACUGAGACACGGCCCAGACUCCUACGGGAGGCAGCAGUGGGGAAUAUUGGACAAUGGGCGAAAGCCUGAUCCAGCCAUGCCGCGUGAGUGAUGAAGGCCUUAGGGUUGUAAAGCUCUUUCGACGGGGAAGAUAAUGACGGUACCCGUAGAAGAAGCCCCGGCUAACUUCGUGCCAGCAGCCGCGGUAAUACGAAGGGGGCUAGCGUUGUUCGGAAUCACUGGGCGUAAAGCGCGCGUAGGCGGACUGAUUAGUCGGGGGUGAAAGCCCGGGGCUCAACCUCGGAAUUGCCUUCGAUACUGUCAGUCUCGAGUCCAGGAGAGGUUGGUGGAAUUCCUAGUGUAGAGGUGAAAUUCGUAGAUAUUAGGAAGAACACCAGUGGCGAA
rnacentral:rRNA from 1 species